rnacentral:rRNA from 1 species
UUCCGGUUGGAUCCAGCCGGACCCCACUGCUAUCGGGAUAGGACUAAGACAUGCUAGUCGUGUGCCUCAGCCAAAACGAGGCACGGCGCACAGCUCAGUAACACGUGGCUAACCUGCCCUAAGGAAGGGGAUAACCCCGGGAAACUGGGGAUAAUACCCUAUAGGUUACAGAUGCUGGAAUGCUUUGUAACCCAAAGUUCCGACGCCUUAGGAUGGAUCUGCGGCCGAUUAGGUUGUUGUCGGGGUAACGGCCCAACAAGCCAGUAAUAGGUACGGGUUGUGGGAGCAAGAGCCCGGAGUUGGAUUCUGAGACACGAAUCCAGGCCCUACGGGGCGCAGCAGGCGCGAAAACUUUACAAUGCGGGCAACCGUGAUAAGGGAACCUCGAGUGCCUGUAUAUGCAGGCUGUCCAGGUGUCUAAAACACACCUGAAGAAAGGGCCGGGCAAGACCGGUGCCAGCCGCCGCGGUAAUACCGGCGGCUCGAGUGGUGGCCACUUUUAUUGGGCUUAAAGCGUUCGUAGCUGGGUUGUUAAGUCUCUUGGGAAAUCUGGCGGCUUAACCGUCAGGCGUCUAAGGGAUACUGGCAAUCUUGGAACCGGGAGAGGUGAGGGGUACUUCGGGGGUAGGAGUGAAAUCCUGUAAUCCUCGAGGGACCACCUGUGGCGAAGGCGCCUCACCAGAACGGCUUCGACAGUGAGGGACGAAAGCUGGGGGAGCAAACCGGAUUAGAUACCCGGGUAGUCCCAGCCGUAAACUAUGCGCGUUAGGUGUAUCGGUGACCACGAGUUACCGAGGUGCCGAAGGGAAACCGUGAAACGUACCGCCUGGGAAGUACGGUCGCAAGGCUGAAACUUAAAGGAAUUGGCGGGGGAGCACCACAACAGGUGGACCUGCGGUUUAAUUGGAUUCAACGCCGGG